AAUGAAGCCAAGGGCAAGUGACAAGGAAGAAGGGCAAUGGAGGUGACAGAGAUGGAAGGUAGAGUCAAAGUGGUGUUUGAAAAUACAGAGGGAUCCAGCAUAAUUAAGAGCAUUAAGCAAUCAUCUCAGGCCAAGAAGGCAGUUGAAGAAAAGAAGAACAGAGUUUGGGCAACACUUUGGGAAAUAAAUUCCACAGCCUUUCACCAAGUUGAGAUCUUGGCUUUGGACACACAUAAAAAUGAGCCUGGCCUGAUCUUAGCUCCCAGUGGACAUCUGCCAGAUCACAAAAUUUGACCCAAUUGGCCUGCCUUACAACAGAGAAGGCCACUGCUGGCGCAGCAGAUGGUACCACUGGUAAGAGCCAACGUGGACGGACAGGGCAGCGGCAGGGAAAUGGCAGAGCACAGCUGGCCCAAGCCAGGGUGGGCGUCUUUGCUUUUAUAGGAGAAUCAUUUUUAUAACACAUUUUUAAAAAACUACAUCGGAGCAGCCGUCGAUCUGACUUUCUUCUUUUGCAGACUUCAAUUACCCUUUCUUUACGUCCUAUAAAACAGCUAAUUAUUCUUUUAUUUUCUUUCUUGUCACUUGGUACCGUUGAACAGUAGUAAAACAACUGCUAACCCCUA